rnacentral:rRNA from 1 species
GAGUUUGAAUCUGGCUCAGAUUGAACGCUGGUGGCAGGCUUAACACAUGCAAGUCGAGCGGAUGAAGGGAGCUUGCUCCUGGAUUCAGCGGCGGACGGGUGAGUAAUGCUUAGGAAUCUGCCUAUUAGUGGGGGACAACAGUUGGAAACGGCUGCUAAUACCGCAUACGCCCUACGGGGGAAAGGAGGGGAUCUUCGGACCUUUCGCUAAUAGAUGAGCCUAAGUCAGAUUAGCUAGUUGGUGGGGUAAAGGCCUACCAAGGCGACGAUCUGUAGCGGGUCUGAGAGGAUGAUCCGCCACACUGGGACUGAGACACGGCCCAGACUCCUACGGGAGGCAGCAGUGGGGAAUAUUGGACAAUGGGGGGAACCCUGAUCCAGCCAUGCCGCGUGUGUGAAGAAGGCCUUUUGGUUGUAAAGCACUUUAAGCGAGGAGGAGGCGCCCUAGAUUAAUACUCUAGGAGCGUGGACGUUACUCGCAGAAUAAGCACCGGCUAACUCUGUGCCAGCAGCCGCGGUAAUACAGAGGGUGCGAGCGUUAAUCGGAUUUACUGGGCGUAAAGCGUACGUAGGCGGCUUUUUAAGUCGGAUGUGAAAUCCCUGAGCUUAACUUAGGAAUUGCAUUCGAUACUGGGAAGCUAGAGUAUGGGAGAGGAUGGUAGAAUUCCAGGUGUAGCGGUGAAAUGCGUAGAGAUCUGGAGGAAUACCGAUGGCGAAGGCAGCCAUCUGGCCUAAUACUGACGCUGAGUACGAAAUGCUGAUGCUA